rnacentral:miRNA from 1 species
UUGAAGGACUGGGCAGGUGAU